AGAGUUUGAUCAUGGCUCAGAUUGAACGCUGGCGGCAUGCCUUACACAUGCAAGUCGAACGGUAACGCGGGGGCAACCCUGGCGACGAGUGGCGAACGGGUGAGUAAUACAUCGGAACAUAUCCAGUAGCGGGGGAUAACCUAUCGAAAGAUGGACUAAUACCGCAUACGAUCUACGGAUGAAAGCAGGGGACCGCAAGGCCUUGCACUAUUGGAGUGGCCGAUGUCGGAUUAGCUAGUUGGUGGGGUAAAAGCUUACCAAGGCGACGAUCCGUAGCUGGUCUGAGAGGACGAUCAGCCACACUGGAACUGAGACACGGUCCAGACUCCUACGGGAGGCAGCAGUGGGGAAUUUUGGACAAUGGGCGCAAGCCUGAUCCAGCCAUGCCGCGUGAGUGAAGAAGGCCUUCGGGUUGUAAAGCUCCUUCGGUGAAGACGAAACGGUUCAUGCUAAUAACGUGAACUAAUGACGGUACUCACAGAAGAAGCACCGGCUAACUACGUGCCAGCAGCCGCGGUAAUACGUAGGGUGCAGGCGUUAAUCGGAAUUACUGGGCGUAAAGCGUGCGCAGGCGGUUUGCUAAGACAGGUGUGAAAUCCCCGGGCUUAACCUGGGAAUUGCGCUUGUAACUGGCAAGCUAGAGUGUGGCAGAGGGGGGUGGAAUUCCACGUGUAGCAGUGAAAUGCGUAGAUAUGUGGAGGAACACCGAUGGCGAAGGCAGCCCCCUGGGUUAACACUGACGCUCAUGCACGAAAGCGUGGGGAGCAAACAGGAUUAGAUACCCUGGUAGUCCACGCCCUAAACUAUGUCAACUAGUUGUCGGGGAAGAAAUUCCUUGGUAACGAAGCUAACGCGUGAAGUUGACUGCCUGGGGAGUACGGCCGCAAGGUUAAAACUCAAAGGAAUUGACGGGGACCCGCACAAGCGGUGGAUUAUGUGGAUUAAUUCGAUGCAACGCGAAAAACCUUACCUACCCUUGACAUGCUAGGAAGCCGCAGAGAUGUGGGUGUGCCCGAAAGGGAACCUAGACACAGGUGCUGCAUGGCUGUCGUCAGCUCGUGUCGUGAGAUGUUGGGUUAAGUCCCGCAACGAGCGCAACCCUUGCCAUUAGUUGCUACAUUCAGUUGGGCACUCUAAUGGGACCGCCGGUGACAAACCGGAGGAAGGUGGGGAUGACGUCAAGUCCUCAUGGCCCUUAUGGGUAGGGCUUCACACGUAAUACAAUGGUCGGUACAGAGGGCUGCCAACCCGCAAGGGGGAGCUAAUCCCAGAAAGCCGAUCGUAGUCCGGAUUGUAGUCUGCAACUCGACUGCAUGAAGCCGGAAUCGCUAGUAAUCGCGGAUCAGCAUGUCGCGGUGAAUACGUUCCCGGGUCUUGUACACACCGCCCGUCACACCAUGGGAGUGGGUUCCACCAGAAGUAGUUAGCCUAACCGCAAGGAGGGCGAUUACCACGGUGAGAUUCAUGACUGGGGUGAAGUCGUAACAAGGUA
rnacentral:rRNA from 1 species